UAUGGGUGCUGCAGAAAAAUCAUCUGGAAAAGUCCAGAUGUUGUAAGGUGGUGCCUUGAAUAUGGUCAAAUGGGAAGGGCCGAAGUCUCCAGGGAGACUGAGAGCUCGUUUGAAGUCUAUGAGUUGCCUCCGUAUUAAAUACAAGUAGUCCUCGAGUUACAACCACAAUGGAGCCCAAAAUUUCUGUUGUUGAGACAUUUGUUAAGUGAAUUUUGCCCCUUUUUAUGACCUUUCUUGCUUCAGUUGUUGUGAAUUGCUGCAGUUGACAAGUUCAUAACUCGAUUGUUACAUGAAUCUGGCUUUCCCAUUGACUUGGCCUCUCAGAAAGUCACAAAACAUGAUCACAUGACCUUGGGACACAGCAACCAUCAUAAAUAUGGACCAGUUGAACUUUGAACGGUCACUAAGUGAAUUGUUGCAAGUCAAGGACUACCUGUACAUGUCCAGUUCUCUUCUGGCAAAGCCAAGUUGCUUUGAAACAGGCAGGGAUUAGGAGAGGCAGCAUAUCCACUUUUGCAAAAUGGCAAAACAACCUAUUGAUGGCGGGAGGUGGGGUACUUUGGAGCGGAUUUUUCCCCCUCUCUAAUUCACAUCUCACAAAAGCCCAGAACCACAAACGCUACGAGGGAUUUCAAGGGCGGGCGCUGGGAUGAGGCAGGGGCCGAGAGACUCUGUUGCGCUCUGAAGCAACAACGCCUUGCAAAACGUCGCGGUGCGGCUGACGAACUCGCGGCUGACUAGCGGGGCGGAGUUGGGCUGCUCUGGGGCUGGGAAAUUCCGUUCACAAAUUAUACAUAAUGCAACUACAAUCCACGCCACGCGUUGCCUAAGCUGACGACUCCCGUAUCGAGGAGGGAGGGCCGCCUCUCCCUCGUGAUCAAAGGGAGCAGCAGCGAAGCCGCCUUUCGUACCGCACGCAGAGGAAGUACAAAGGCAACAUCGACCCAGAAAGGGAGAUUUUGACUUCAUGCACUAAAUGAAGAGGUGAACAUAAGAUCAAGCAACACUUUUUUCCAGGGAAAAGCUAACAUCCUGUGUUAGCCUGACAAGAGCUUGAAGUAUGGUAAACAGAGCAUCUGUCAUAACCGCAUCCUCACCCUGCUGUCCAGCAACCUCCGUCAUCAGGAACAAGCACUUCACAACAACUUGACAAGAAGCAGAUGGCAGCUCCAGGGGCUGCAGCUCCAUUCUUGCUGUUAGGCAGCCUCUCCUUUCUCUCUGCUCUAGCCUUGGUCCUUGGAAGCUCUUGGAUCACAGCAUCCUCACCAGCUUCCUCCAUCGACACAGCGAGAGGUGAGGAUUAUGCCAUGAAGAUGGAGGGAGAGAUGGGAACCAACUAUAGCACAUGUAACCUACGAAGCUAACCAAGCAGAGACACAGUGACCCUCCAAAAAGACACAAGAAAUUUGGUUCUUCUUUUUCUUUCCAGCCAUCACACUUGUUACACAAAAUGAGGAAAUAUGGAAAAAAAUGGCAAAAAGAUUUUUAUAGCAUUUUCCAGACACUGAAAGGCAGUGCUGGUUAAGAUGCAAGCAGCAAUAGGCUUUGCAUUAGAACCCCUGCUGAGACUAAGAAACUUUCCAGAUACUCUAAUUUCUUAUUGUAAUAUGCACUCCUGCAUAUGCUGAUGCACUUUUCUCAUAUUUUCAACAAUCAAAUCCUCAGUAGCUCUGCGUUCAUAAGCCUGUACUUUUGCUACAACUGAGCCUUUCUAAGUUCUAAAUCCAUAGUUAGAUUGGACAGAUUGACAUUCAAGACUGGUAAACCAUUUGAAAAUUAUAUAUAUCAAAACCUCAAAUGGGUAAGGUCUCUGUUUCAGGAAGCUUGCCAAAUGCAUUAUAUUCAGCCGAGAAUAAAUUUGGGUUGAUGAAUGUAAAAUAAUAGCCAAAUUUAGGAAUGAGCUGCAAUGAGUCAAAGGAAAAUGAAACAUCAAAUCGUUUCCAGAGGAGAGGAAUCUGCAAAUGUAGAAAAGAAAAAUGAAGAGCAGGGUUCAAGAGUUAUUUGUUAUUGAUGGUGGCAUCUAUAAUUGUUUUCCUUGCUGCAACUUUUUUUUUUUUUAAAUAAACCCUCCUAAACCACAA